rnacentral:tRNA from 1 species
UCUAAUAUGGCAGAUUAGUGCAUUGGACUUAAACCCCAAUUAUAAAGAUUAUUCUUUUUUUAGAA